AACGAACGCUGGCGGCAUGCCUAACACAUGCAAGUCGAACGAGACCUUCGGGUCUAGUGGCGCACGGGUGCGUAACGCGUGGGAACCUGCCCUUAGGUUCGGAAUAACUCCCCGAAAGGGGUGCUAAUACCGGAUAAUGUCUUCGGACCAAAGAUUUAUCGCCUUUGGAUGGGCCCGCGUUGGAUUAGCUAGUUGGUAGGGUAAAAGCCUACCAAGGCGACGAUCCAUAGCUGGUCUGAGAGGAUGAUCAGCCACACUGGGACUGAGACACGGCCCAGACUCCUACGGGAGGCAGCAGUGGGGAAUAUUGGACAAUGGGCGAAAGCCUGAUCCAGCCAUGCCGCGUGAGUGAUGAAGGCCUUAGGGUUGUAAAGCUCUUUUACCCGGGAUGAUAAUGACGGUACCGGGAGAAUAAGCUCCGGCUAACUCCGUG
rnacentral:rRNA from 1 species